UGUCUAUAGCGCUCCUUCUUGGGACUCACCAAAAUAGGGUGCUAUAGAGAGGGGGUGCUAUAGACAGGUCACUUUUAAUGUAAAUCACAUCGUACUACAUACAGUUAAACCUGUCUAUAGCGCCCCCUCUUGGGACUCACCAAAAUAGGGUGCUAUAGAGAGGGGGUGCUAUAGACAGGUCACUUUUAAUGUAAAUCGCAUCGUACUACGUACAGUUAAACCUGUCUAUAGCGCUGCCUCUUGGGACUCACCAAAAUAGGGUGCUAUAGAGAGGGGGUGCUAUAGACAGGUCACUUUUAAUGUAAAUCGCAUCGUACUACGUACAGUUAAACCUGUCUAUAGCGCUCCCUCUUGGGACUCACCAAAAUAGGGUGCUAUAGAGAGGGGGUGCUAUAGACAGGUCACUUUUAAUGUAAAUCGCAUCGUACUACAUACAGUUAAACCUAUCUAUAGCGCCCCCUUUUGGGACUCACCAAAAUAGGGUGCUAUAGAGAGGGGGUGCUAUAGACAGGUCACUUUUAAUGUAAAUCGCAUCGUACUACGUACAGUUAAACCUGUCUAUAGCGCUCCCUCUUGGGACUCACCAAAAUAGGGUGCUAUAGAGAGGGGGUGCUAUAGACAGGUCACUUUUAAUGUAAAUCGCAUCGUACUACAUACAGUUAAACCUGUCUAUAUCGCUCCCUCUUGGGACUCACCAAAAUAGGGUGCUAUAGAGAGGGGGUGCUAUAGACAGGUCACUUUUAAUGUAAAUCGCAUCGUACAACGUUUAUAAAAUCGGGCGCUAUAGAGAGGGAGGCGCUAUUUAGAGGGGGCGCUAUAUGUUUGGUGUUUAUAUUUUUAUAAUUAAGAAUGUGAUUUGUAUAAAUUGUUUAUUAAACUUUAUACUGAUCUUUUUACAUCACCACGUUGUUUACAUUCUACAUCUUAUUCUUGUUGUUUAUAAUGAUGAUAUAUAUUUAUUCACAGAUUAAUAGGAUAUAUAUAUAUUUAGUCCCAAACACUAUGGACAGGUUUAACUGUAUUAUCAUAAUUCUUUACAUCAAUAAUAAAGUAAGAAACUAUCAGGAUUCAAGGGCGAGAUUCCUUUAUUUAAAAUUUGAAUCCACAAAUCUCACUGUAGUAAGGUUUUCCUGUCUGAAAGUUAGAGAUUGGUGAAUUAAAAUUUAAAAAAGAAACUUCUCCCUAGUUCUCAACCUGCAUCCCCAAAACACAUUAUUGACUUUAUUGACUCAUCCAUUGAUGAGCUCUACACAUCCCCAGCAGACACCAUCAAAAGUCUCAAGCUUUAUAAGCUUGAUACUUAAUAUGAUUGAGUGGAGAUAAGAAAGAAGAAGGAGAAGACUAACUUACUGAAGUAUUGCUUCUAGGUUUGAAAACUUGAGAAAUAAAAGAAAUGUAAAAAUAAACCUAUCCCUUGAUUCUUCUUCUUCUUUCUUAUCUCCACUCAAUCAUAUUAGGGUAUCAAGUUGUGACCCUUGAUAGUGUCUGUUUGACAACCAUCAUGACUGGGUGAAGUAGAAUGCCUUUGUCAUUAAGACUGAGAGCACUACUCAGUGGCAGGCCGACUUAGCUCCAAAAGAAAUGGCCGCCUCUGAAAUGAGGAACAGAUGCCAUUUGCAGCUUCUCCUAACAUGGAGUAUGAACUUAAGAAAGAAGAAGAAGAAUUCUCCCUGGAAACCAUAUAUCUUUUAAAAUACGGUCAGAUAUUUAUUGGUGAUGACCCGAAACUGGAGAAGGGGCACUUCAAAGCUAUCCUCUAAAAAAAAAUGAGGUCAAGUUGACCGCUAUAAGUGGCGUGUACUCCAUCAUGCCUAUGUCAUCAAUACCCGAUCAUUACAAGAAACACCAUCCUCUUCGCUGGGUGAAAGUAUUACAUUAGAGAUGAAUGUCACCAAGAUUUCUUCAUUUUGGUGAAUAUCGACUUAAAGUUUUGGCAUCCCAUGAGAGCAUGGCAUCCUCAGUUUACCAUUCAAGUGAGCAAUUCUGUUGUAUCUUUUAUACGGGUUCAUUUACCUUUAGCUUUAUAUAUAUUUAAUAUAGUUACAGCCUUUAUGUAUAUAGACAAUUAAUAUACCGCCGUGCUAGAACAAUUAUAUAUUUAUUAUGCGGCGUUGUUUACAUACAUACUGUGUUGCCAGAUCUUUUAGUAGCACAGAUUAUAACUAUAUACAACAUGUUCCCCUUUUAAUUAAAGUCCGGGGUCGAAUCUCUUUGGAGGCUUUACCACACGUCCACUUCUAGUGGUGUAGGCAGUGCCUCCUUCAUUGUAGUUUCCUAUGGGAGUUGUUGAAGUGGAUAGGGCCAACUCUUCAGGACUGAGGUUCAGGCGGGGAAAUUCUCCUGGUUCCCUUUGACCACUGGACUCCGAUGAUGUCGAGGGGGCUGGAUCCAAUUGGGGCGAUGACUGGCUGCUCCUUCUCUGUCCAACAGGAUAACUUCUGGGCCGUAGGUGAACUCUGUUCCGUUUUAACAAUCGGCCCUCGUUGUUCUGAAUGAUGUAUGAUCGAGGCUGGUUGGCUUCUCCAAUGAUGGUAGCUGGUCUCCAGGCAUUGCUAGUUUUGGCAUUUACCUGUUCACCAGAACUCAUUUUAGGAAGUAUUUUGGCAUUUCGGUCAUAAUAUUUUUUCAUCUUAUAUUGAUUUUCCCUCUUCUGCUGUAGAAUGUUUUCCGUGCUAAUGAAAGCAGGUUUUAGCUUUGUGGUUUUCAUUGGGAUCAAGGUUCUCAAGUUUCUUCCCAUUAGCAUCUGAGCUGGGGACGGUAGAUUAUUUGACGGAGUUGUUCUCAGGGCUAUUAAACACAUAUAAGGAUCAGUGUUGUCUUGACGGCAUUUCUUAAGUUGCUGCUUUACUGUUUGCACCAUCCUCUCCACUAAUCCGUUUGAUUUUGGGUAUCCUGGGCUAGAGGUUUUAUGUUCUAUGUCCCAUUCAUUUGUAAAAUUAGUAAAGUCUUGUGAUGUAAAUGGUGGUCCAUUAUCAGUGAUGAUGAUCUCUGGAAUCCCAUGUCUUGCGAAGGUAGAUUUCAAAACUGGUAGAAUCUCUUUUGCUGAAGUUGAUGCUACCUUGAUGACUUCAGGAAAGCUGCUGUAGUAGUCUACUAUUAUUAUGAAUACAGAUUGGUCUAGAUAGAAGAAAUCAAUAGCUACUUUUUGCCAAGGGUAGUCUGCUAUUUCGUGAGGUAUAAGUGGUUCUUUCCUUUGCGAAGGUUGUGAUUCUUGACAAAUUCUACACUUAUAAACCAUCUCUUCUAUUUCUCUAUCCAGUCCAGGCCAAUAAAUAGCUUCAUGUGCUCUGUUUUUACAAGCAGAGAUCCCUUGAUGAGACAUGUGUAGUGUUUGCAAGAUGCUUUCCCUUUGGACUUUAGGGAUGACAAGUCUUUGUCCUCUACAAAUCAGGUCUUUCCAUAUAUAUAGUUCUUCUUUACAAUGCCAGUAGGGCUUAACAGCAUAGUCCACACUUUUCUUAUGAAUAGGCCACCCAUUCAGUAUAUGAUCCCUUAAUUUUAUCAUUUCUUCAUCUGACUCCAUAUCUCUGAGAAUUUCCUGGUAUCUUUUAGUGGUCACCUUCAGAUUUAGAGUCAUAAUGGUGUUCUGGAGAUCCAGAUCUGAGGUGUCGAUGGUUUCCUCUGAAAUUGAAUCUCUAGAUAGAGUGUCUGCGGUGUGAAUCACUUUUCCUGGUACAUAUUCUAAAUUAAAAUCAUAUCGCAUCAAUUUCAAGACCAGUCUUUCAAGUCUUGGAGAUAAUUCCUCUAGUGGCUUUUUUAGUAUAGCCAACAAGGGUUUAUGAUCCGUCUGGGCUGUGAACUUUCUUCCAUACAAAUGAUAGUUAAAUCUUUGGCAUCCAUACCAGAGAGCUAAGAGCUCCUUUUCAAUCUGGGCAUAUUUUUUCUGAGUGUUAUUCAAGGAUGCGGAUGCAAAAGCGAUGGGUCUUCCCUCUUGCAUCAAGACAGCCCCAAGCCCAUGUUGACUAGCGUCCACUGAAAGUGUUACCUUCCGAUGGGGGUCAAAGAGGCCAAGAACUGGAGGAUUUGAUACCAAAUUUUUCAGCUCAAUGAAUUCUUUUUCUAUAGCCUCAUUCCAUGUCCACAGGGUAUUCUUUUUUAGGAGUUGUCUUAACAAGACAGUUUUAUCUGCCAGAUUAUGCAUGAAUUUAGCUAGAUAGUUCACAGUUCCCAAAAAUCUUUGAAGAGAUGUCUUGUCCAUUGGUCUUUUUAUUUUUUGUAUUGCUUCUAAUUUAGAUGGAUCUGCAGAGAUGCCAUUCUUGGAUAUCUCAUGUCCAAUGAACUUAACUUUUUCUUGGGCCAGUUGCAUUUUAUUGAAUUCAAACUUUAAAUUAUUUUUUCUAGCAAUUUCCAAAACCGUAAUCAGUCUACUAUUGUGCUCCGUGAGGGAGUUUCCGUAUAUUAUUAUAUCAUCCAUGUAUACUUUUACUCCUUCAAUUCCUGUAAACAUACUUUGCAUUUUUUUAUAGAAAACUUCUGGAGCGCUGCAAAUACCAAAGGGUAACCGAUGGAAUCUGUAAUACCCAUAAGGUGUAGCCAUUGUUAAAAGGCUAGAUGACUUUUCGUCUAACUUGAUUUGCCAAAAGGCUGACUUAGCAUCAAGUACUGUAUAGAUGGGUGAUUUUGUGAUAUCAGCAAUGAUGCCUUCAGGGGCAGGAAGUUGACGAUAUUCCAUUUUAAUCCAUGGAUUUAGCUCUCUAGGGUCCAUACAGAUACGAACCUUUCCAUUUGGUUUCUUAAUGAUUACCAUCGGGUGUGCCCACUCUGCUGGUUGGUCUACCUUUGAGAUGAUCUUUUGUUCCUCCAUCGAUUUUAGCUCCAUCUCAACUGGUUUUUUUCAGUGCAAACGGAAUUCGGCGAGCUAACUGAAUUCUUGGAUGUGCAUUUUCUCUCAGGAUCACAGAAUGCUCUCCAGGGAGUGUUCCGAUCUCAUCAAAGACAUCUCUGUAGGACUCUAUUAUCUUUGUAGGUGAAGCAUCCAUCUUUGUCCUAGUAUGGUCCUGUUCCAACGACUCUACUUUUAAUAUCAGCUCUAAUUUUUUACACGCUGCCAAUCCCAAAAUUGGUGGAGCUGGCAAAUCCACGACUAGAAAUUCAAGGAUUUCAGAUUUUUUCCCAGAGGUACAUGAAGCCUUGCAUUUGCCCCUUAUUGGUACUUUUUCUCCUGUAUAUGAAUAAACCGCAAUCCCAGUUGGAUAUAUGCAGGGUUUAUUUUGCCAAUUUUUAAUGGUAUCCAAUGGCAGGAUGUUCACCUGUGCUCCUGUGUCUAAUUUAAAAUUAACUGAAUUAUUCUCCACCAAGAUUAUUUUAGUCCACUCUAGACCAGUAAUGCUAUCUAGGGAUAGGUAUUGAAGACACAUUUCUUCUUCCUCUUCCGCUCUUUCCUCCAACAUAUGCACUCUGUUCCUACACAUUUUAGCAAAAUGGUUUGGUUUUUUACAUGAAUUGCAUAUUUUACCAUAUGCAAAACAUUUACCAUAUGGAUGUCUGGAACCACAAUUUUGGCAAACCUUUGCAUUAGGAUGUUCCUCAGAUACAUUAGGUUUUCUACCAACUGGAUAUUUGAAAUUCUUUUUAUAUUGCUUUUUAUAUUUUAUAGAAUGUAAAUCAACAUCUUCUCUAGUUAUAUUUUUUACUUGUUGUCUAGAAGUUUCAGUAGCUCUUCCCAAGUCUAUGGCUUUAGCUAAAGAAAGAUCAGGAUCUUGUAGCAUCCUUUCUUUUAAAGCUUUGUCUUUAAUUCCAAUUAUAAUUCUAUCUCUGACCAAGGAAUCUGCAAGCUCUCCAAAUUCGCAGUCCAUGCUUUUAUUUUUCAAUUCAGUUACAUAGUCAUCAAAAUUCUGAUUCUCCCCUUGUUCCGUUGUAAAAAACUGGUACCUCUUAUAGGUUGUGUUUUUAUAUGGUUUAAAGUGUCCAUCAAACAGUUCAAGUAUAUCCGGAACAGUCGGAGAGGCAUCAGUUUCUUGUAUUUUAAAUGUAGAGUAUAUAUCUAGGGCUAACUCACCAAUAUUAUAGAGUAGAAUAGCCCUUUGUCUUGGAAUAGAUUUUUUAUCUAUUUCUGUGGCUAUGUAAAACAUUUGGAAUCUCUUUUUCCAUUUACCCCAUGCUUCUGAUGGGUUUGUUCCAGGCACAAAUGGCUGCAAACUAUUCCCGGUACUCGAGGCCAUUUUUCAACGUGUUAGGCUUAAUUGAUAUUUGAAAUUUUACUUAUCUUUCAAAAUCCCGGCGCUGCCACCAUGUUGUAUCUUUUAUACGGGUUCAUUUACCUUUAGCUUUAUAUAUAUUUAAUAUAGUUACAGCCUUUAUGUAUAUAGACAAUUAAUAUACCGCCGUGCUAGAACAAUUAUAUAUUUAUUAUGCGGCGUUGUUUACAUACAUACUGUGUUGCCAGAUCUUUUAGUAGCACAGAUUAUAACUAUAUACAACAAAUUCCUUGCUUCAUAAUAAUCGGUUUAAGAUAUUUAAUGGGAAAAGUUGUCGCAUUUUCUGAAAUUUGGCUUAUAUUAUCCUCUUCAUGAGUUGAUGAUUGCACAUGCAACCAAGGUAUUUUAGAAUUAUACAGAGUGUGUAAUAGAAUGGAUGUGGUUAAAAGGAAUUUAUUUUAAAAUGAGAAUUUUUCAAAACAAUCAACAAUGGUUUUAGCUGCUAGGAUAUGAGGUCACAGAUUUGUUGAUUCUGCUUUUGCCUUUUAAAACGAUUCACGCCGAAGCCGUCUGUUGAAAAAGUCUCAUUCUCUGCCAUAGAAGACGGCGGAACUGUGCUCACACCUAAGCCGUCCGUUGAACAAAUCUCAUUCUCUGCCAUAGAAGACGGCGGAACUGUGCUCACACCGAAGCCGUCCGUUGAACAAAUCUCAUUCUCUGCCAUAGAAGACGGCGGAACUGUGCUCACACCGAAGCCGUCCGUUGAACAAAUCUCAUUCUCUGCCAUAGAAGACGGCGGAACUGUGCUCACACCGAAGCCGUCCGUUGAACAAAUCUCAUUCUCUGCCAUAGAAGACGGCGGAACUGUGCUCACACCGAAGCCGUGCUUUGAACAAGUCUCAUUCUCUGCCAUAGAAGACGGCGGAACUGUGCUCACACCGAAGCCGUCCGUUGAACAAAUCUCAUUCUCUACCAUAGAAGACGGCGGAACUGUGCUCACACCGAAGCCGUGCAUUGAACAAGUCUCAUUCUCUACCAUAGAAGACGGCGGAACUGUGCUCACACCGAAGCCGUCCAUUGAACAAGUCUCAUUCUCUGCCAUAGUAGACGGCGGAACUGUGCUCACACCGAAGCCGUCCAUUGAACAUGUCUCAUUCUCUGCCAUAGUAGACGGCGGAACUGUGCUCACACCGAAGCCGACCAUUGAACAAGUCUCAUUCUCUGCCAUAGAAGACGGCGGAACUGUGCUCACACCGAAGCCGUCCAUUGAACAAGUCUCAUUCUCUGCCAUAGUAGACGGCGGAACUGUGCUCACACCGAAGCCGUCCAUUGAACAAGUCUCAUUCUCUGCCAUAGAAGACGGCGGAACUGUGCUCACACCGAAGCCGUCCGUUGAACAAGUCUCAUUCUCUGCCAUCGAAGACGGCGGAACUGUGCUCACACCGAAGCCGUCCAUUGAACAUGUCUCAUUCUCUGCCAUAGAAGACGGCGGAACUGUGCUCACAUCGAAGCCGUCCAUUGAACAUGUCUCAUUCUCUGCCAUAGUAGACGGCGGAACUGUGCUCACACCGAAGCCGUCCUUUGAAUAAGUCUCAUUCUCUGCCAUAGAAGAUAGCGGGACUGUGCUCACAGCGAAGCCGUCCGUUGAACAAGUCUCAUUCUCUGCAAUAGUAGACGGCGGAAUAGUGCUCACACCGAAGCCGUCCAUUGAACAAGUCUCAUUCUCUGCCAUAGAAGACGGCGGAACUGUGCUCACAUCAAAGCCGUCCGUUGAACAAGUCUCAUUCUCUGCCAUAGAAGACGGCGGAACUGUGCUCACACCGAAGCCGUCCGUUGAACAAGUCUCAUUCUCUGCCAUAGUAGACGGCGGAACUGUGCUCACACCGAAGCCGUCAAUCGAACAAGUCUCAUUCUUUGCCAUAGGAGACGGCGGAACUGUGCUCAGACCGAAGCCGUCCAUUGAACAAGUCUCAUUCUCUGCCAUAGAAGACGGCGGAACUGUGCUCACACCGAAGCCGUCCAUUGAACAAGUCUCAUUCUCUGCCAUAGAAGACGGCGGAACUGUGCUCACAUCAAAGCCGUCCGUUGAACAAGUCUCAUUCUCUGCCAUAGAAGACGGCGGAACUGUGCUCACACCGAAGCCGUCCGUUGAACAAGUCUCAUUCUCUGCCAUAGUAGACGGCGGAACUGUGCUCACACCGAAGCCGUCCGUUGAACAAGUCUCAUUCUCUGCCAUAGAAGACGGCGGAACUGUGCUCACACCGAAGCCGUCAAUCGAACAAGUCUCAUUCUUUGCCAUAGGAGACGGCGGAACUGUGCUCAGACCGAAGCCGUCCAUUGAACAAGUCUCAUUCUCUGCCAUAGUAGACGGCGGAACUGUGCUCACACCGAAGCCGUCCGUUGAACAAGUCUCAUUCUCUGCCAUAGUAGACGGCGGAACUGUGCUCACACCGAAGCCGUCCGUUGAACAAGUCUCAUUCUCUGCCAUUGAAGACGGCGGAACUGUGCUCACACCGAAGCCGUCAAUCGAACAAGUCUCAUUCUUUGCCAUAGGAGACGGCGGAACUGUGCUCAGACCGAAGCCGUCCGUUGAACAAAUCUCAUUCUCUGCCAUAGAAGACGGCGGAACUGUGCUUCCAACAAUUGUUCACGUAACUGUAAUUAAGAAAAAGGCAUCUCCUGCUCUUGCAACUAUAAGUUGCUGAUAACUUGCACCAUCUGUCGGAAUAAAAUAACUAUUCGUUGAUUUUUAAUUAUUCCAGAAUUGGUCAAAUACUUAUUCUUUGGUAUACCUAUGGGUAUAUACAAGAAUGGGUAUUUAACCAAUUUUAGGAAUAACAGAAAAAUUAACGAAUAUUCUAUAUUCAUUCCGAUAGACAAUUAUUUUAUAUAUUUUUUUAGACAAUUAAAAUAAUUUUAUUGACAUCUUGUCAAUACAUGCAAAGUGCACAGUCUGUACUAUUUAAAAAAUAGAUAAUAUGCAUAUACCACUAUAUACAAUGAAUAUGGCGCCUCUGCCAGCGCUGCAGAGUUUGGUGGAGAAUCACCAUCGGGUCUCCAGUAUCCAGUUCCGAUAGAUGACGCAAACCAUCAGUAACAUUUUACUUGCACAAUCAGGAGAUGCCUUUUUUUCAUAAUUUAUCUAUCUGAUCAUAGUACACUUUCAGUUUCGUACUAUUUUUCAUAUAAUAUAUAAAUUCAAUAAAAUAAUUCCUUGUAUUAUUAUUGAGUAGAAAUACCAGGCCUCCAGAUAAAAGUAUAUUUUCAAAAACCUUUUUAAUCUCUAGCUUUCGAACUCUCAGGGCCUGACUCAAGGCGGCUUUUAGCCCUUGAUGUAAUCUAGACGUCCCUCGGGGAAGACCUCGAAUUUGAUGUCAUGUAUAUAUUUGAUUAUAAAGCUGAUAGCUGUAAGCUUGUUGUAACUUUGUUUUUAUGUUAACUGGAAGUCAGUAAAGUAUAUUUCAAUCUCUAGCUUUCGACCAAGAACGCCCUUCUACAGGUGAAUAUCACACACUCACACACACACACAAAAGCCUUUAUUAAGACACACAGGUCUUACAGAGGAUUCUCCUUGGGGUUACAAGACGGAGAAACCUAUGAAAGUGGGAAAUAAAAAAUGGAGAAAGAUUAUAUACAUAUGGUAAAUAUAUACAGAUUAUAAGAAAGAAUAAAAAUGAGAAAAAAAAAUUGGAAAUAUGGAUGGGAGAAGUGGAGAGCGAAAAGAGGAAAGAAACAGGUAUGGAACAAGUCAAUUUAAGCUCUUCUGCUCAUACAGCACAGGUGGGCCAUGGCUAUUUCAAGAAAUCUUUAAGAUAUUUUCCAGGAAAAUCCGAGUGUUCAGGGUUGUAAGGUGCAGGUGAAUAUAUCAUGUUUUCUCCUUCUUCAAAUUAAAGACACUUCGACCAGUAAAUCUUUUUUAUUGUCUCUACGUUUCGAC